UACAGCGGUCCCAAGCGUUGUUCGGAUUCAUUGGGCGUAAAGGGUGCGUAGGUGGCGCCGUAAGUCGGGUGUGAAAUCUCGGGGCUUAACUCCGAAACUGCAUUCGAUACUGCGGUGCUUGAGGACUGGAGAGGAGACUGGAAUUUACGGUGUAGCAGUGAAAUGCGUAGAGAUCGUGAGGAAGACCAGUGGCGAAGGCGGGUCUCUGGACAGUUCCUGACGCUGAGGCGCGAAUGCCAGGGGAGCAAACGGG
rnacentral:rRNA from 1 species